rnacentral:rRNA from 1 species
UGCAAGUCGAGCGGGGAAGGGUAGCUUGCUACCUGACCUAGCGGCGGACGGGUGAGUAAUGCUUAGGAAUCUGCCUAUUAGUGGGGGACAACAUUCCGAAAGGAAUGCUAAUACCGCAUACGCCCUACGGGGGAAAGCAGGGGAUCUUCGGACCUUGCGCUAAUAGAUGAGCCUAAGUCAGAUUAGCUAGUUGGUGGGGUAAAGGCCUACCAAGGCGACGAUCUGUAGCGGGUCUGAGAGGAUGAUCCGCCACACUGGGACUGAGACACGGCCCAGACUCCUACGGGAGGCAGCAGUGGGGAAUAUUGGACAAUGGGCGCAAGCCUGAUCCAGCCAUGCCGCGUGUGUGAAGAAGGCCUUUUGGUUGUAAAGCACUUUAAGCGAGGAGGAGGCUACUUGGAUUAAUACUCUAGGAUAGUGGACGUUACUCGCAGAAUAAGCACCGGCUAACUCUGUGCCAGCAGCCGCGGUAAUACAGAGGGUGCGAGCGUUAAUCGGAUUUACUGGGCGUAAAGCGUGCGUAGGCGGCUUCUUAAGUCGGAUGUGAAAUCCCUGAGCUUAACUUAGGAAUUGCAUUCGAUACUGGGAAGCUAGAGUAUGGGAGAGGAUGGUAGAAUUCCAGGUGUAGCGGUGAAAUGCGUAGAGAUCUGGAGGAAUACCGAUGGCGAAGGCAGCCAUCUGGCCUAAUACUGACGCUGAGGUACGAAAGCAUGGGGAGCAAACAGGAUUAGAUACCCUGGUAGUCCAUGCCGUAAACGAUGUCUACUAGCCGUUGGGGCCUUUGAGGCUUUAGUGGCGCA